UACGGGGGGAGCAAGCGUUGUUCGGAUUUACUGGGCGUAAAGGGCGCGUAGGCGGUAGGACAAGUCAGUUGUGAAAUCUCCGGGCUUAACUCGGAAAGGUCAACUGAUACUGUGCGACUAGAGUGCAGAAGGGGCAACUGGAAUUCUCGGUGUAGCGGUGAAAUGCGUAGAUAUCGAGAGGAACACCUGCGGCGAAGGCGGGUUGCUGGGCUGACACUGACGCUGAGGCGCGAAAGCCAGGGGAGCGAACGGG
rnacentral:rRNA from 1 species